rnacentral:lncRNA from 1 species
ACAGAUGCACACUCUGUUUGCCGACUCUUUCGCUGCUUUGGGUCGUUUGGAUAACAUUACACUAGUGAUGGUUUUUCAUCCACAAUAUCUAGAAAGUUUCUUAAAGACACAACACUACCUACUGCAGAUGGACGGGCCGUUGCCCCUCCAUUAUCGCCACUACAUUGGCAUCAUGGUUCGUAAACUUCCUAUGACAUUCUUUUCCCUGUGGUUUUUUUUUUUUUUAAUUUUAUUUCUUUAAGAGGAUUAAUGCUUUUGACACAAGAAUAAAUACUUAUAUUACUUAUU